rnacentral:lncRNA from 1 species
AUGAAUUCGAUACUUUAAUAAAAAAUUCGGUAGAUUCUAUGAGCAUGUUCAUAUUAGGCAUCAAUCUCAUGCAAACAUAUGAAUGGGUCGAACCCGUAAUCACAUCGGGAGAGGAUGCCUCUUCGCAAGCGCGAAUAGCAUAAGUCCUUGUGGGUGCUCUAGCAUCUGGUCUAAUUGUUGAGUCUCAGAUUCUUCUGUGGUCUGCCUCUAGUGGGAGCAUUUCC